rnacentral:rRNA from 1 species
AGUGAACGCUGGCGGUAGGCCUAACACAUGCAAGUCGAACGGCAGCACAGUAAGAGCUUGCUCUUACGGGUGGCGAGUGGCGGACGGGUGAGGAAUACAUCGGAAUCUACUUUUUCGUGGGGGAUAACGUAGGGAAACUUACGCUAAUACCGCAUACGACCUACGGGUGAAAGCAGGGGAUCUUCGGACCUUGCGCGAUUGAAUGAGCCGAUGUCGGAUUAGCUAGUUGGCGGGGUAAAGGCCUACCAAGGCGACGAUCCGUAGCUGGUCUGAGAGGAUGAUCAGCCACACUGGAACUGAGACACGGUCCAGACUCCUACGGGAGGCAGCAGUGGGGAAUAUUGGACAACGGGCGCAAGCCUGAUCCAGCCAUACCGCGUGGGUGAAGAAGGCCUUCGGGUUGUAAAGCCCUUUUGUUGGGAAAGAAAAGCAGCAGGUUAAUACCCCGCUGUUCUGACGGUACCCAAAGAAUAAGCACCGGCUAACUUCGUG